AAAAAAUUGCAACAAUCAUUUUCUCUCUCCACUCCCCGCCGGCCACUCUCCCCCCUCUACUAACGUGUCCACUCUCUCAAAUCUUAUCAUCUCCUUCCCUCUGUCUCUUUCAUGGCUUCCACUCUCACUCUUCCUCCUCUUUAAUCUCCUCCAAUUUUCUCUCUCCUCCUUUCUCCCAUGGCUUCCAACUCUCUCACCUCCUCCUCUAAUGGCGACCACUCCUCUAAAAAACCCAAACUCAACCACCUUUCUUUCCCCCACCACCACCAACAACAAUCUCAUCAAGAACAAGAACAAGAAAAAACCCUAAUUACCGCCGCAGAAAUCGCCGCGGAAUUCUCCCACCACGACCCAACAAUCUCUCGCAUCAACAACGGUAGUUUCGGUUGCUGCCCCUCCACAAUCCUCGCCGCACAACGCCGCCAUCAACUCCUCUUCCUCCGUCAACCCGAUCAUUUCUACUUCUCUCUCCUCCGUCCAGCUAUCGACUCCUCUCGUCGUCAUCUUCUUCCUUUAAUCAACGCCUCUAACCUCGACGAAAUCUCCCUCGUCGAUAACGCCACCACCGCCACCGCCGUCGUUCUUCAGUACGUCUCUCGCGCUUUUUCCGAACGCCGUUUCUCCGCCGGUGAUGCCGCCGUUAUGCUUCACUACGCUUAUGGGUCUGUCAAGAAGUCUGUUCAUGCUUACGUCACUCGCGUUGGAGGACAUGUCAUUGAGGUACCUUUACCUUUUCCUGUUUAUGAUGAGGGUGAUAUUGUUAGGGAGUUUAGAAAUGCGUUGAAUGUUGCGAAAUUGGAGAAUCGUAGGGUUAGGUUGGCUGUUAUUGAUCAUAUUACUUCUAUGCCUUGUGUUGUUUUGCCUGUUAAAGAUUUGGUUAGGAUUUGUAGGGAGGAAGGUGUUGAUCAUGUUUUUAUCGAUGGGGCACACGCUAUCGGCUGUUUAAAGGUUGAUAUGGAGGAGAUUGGGGCUGAUUUUUAUACCAGUAAUUUGCAUAAGUGGUUGUUUUGUCCUCCUUCGGUUGCGUUCUUGUAUUGCAGGAAGAGGAGGAAGAAGGAAGGGGUGGUGGAAGAGGAUGAUGAUGAUGUGCAUCAUCCUGUGGUUUCUCAUGAGUAUGGGAAUGGAUUGCCAGUUGAGAGCGCGUGGAUUGGGACGCGUGAUUAUAGCUCCCAGCUUGUGGUGCCGGAGGUUUUGGAGUUUCUUGGUCGGUUCGAGGGAGGGAUUGAUGGGAUUAUGAGGAGGAAUCAUGAGAAAGUUAUUGAGAUGGGAGAGAUGUUGGUGGAAGCUUGGGGGACUCAUCUAGGGUGUUCCCCUAAAAUGUGUGCUAGUUUGGCCAUGGUGGGGUUGCCUCUUUGUUUGGGGAUUCAAAGUGAUGAGGAUGCUUUAAAGUUGAGGACUCAUUUUAGGGAGAAAUUUGGUGUGGAGGUUCCGAUUCAUUUUAGGCCGCCUAAGGAUGGGGAAGUCGGAUGUUUAACUGGAUAUGCUCGGAUUUCUCAUCAGAUUUAUAACACUGCUGAUGAUUAUAUUAAGCUUAGGGAUGCUGUUAAUCAAAUGGUGCGAGAUGGGUUUACCUGUGCGAAGCUCAACAGUUAGACAAGAAAAACAGAAAAGAAAAGGCAGCUUGUAGCCCAGUAGGUUGUGCCAGUGCCAAAAGCAAAAAUCCUAAAAGCCCUGUUACUUUCUCUUCCCCUUUACUCUCUCCUCACUAGUCCUUGCAGACUUGCAGUUGCCUCACCCGCCUAUCUCAUGCAGUCAUGCUCAACCACUGUGAAUAGUGAAGACUAUUAAUAAGCAUUCAUGAACGUAUUCGUUCCAUGUCAAACCUUUCAACCUGCUGCUGGCUAUCCCAGGAUAUGGAUUUGGUCCGAUUGAAGUUGCUAAAGGUGCUCAAGCUGCUGAACUAGCAAUGAAUCUGAUUGUAUAGUGCUUUGAAGUUUGAACUUUGAAGGGGUUUCUUUGGCCCUGUUUAAUUCAGAGAUGGCCUGCUAGUGACUCAUGUAAGGAUUGUGCUGAGUGUUGUAAAUUACUUGCGUUGUAGGACACUUAUAUUUUUCUGGAUAUGUUAGUCUAAUAGUCUACUAGUUUAGAGUAGACCAGUUCAUCAAGUCUGGCCUAACAAUAAUCAGGCUAACUGCUGUAUGAAUUUUUCAUCAUCUGUAACAAUUUUCAGCUAAUGUUAGUUAGAGAUAGCAGCCUUUACAAUUUUAA